rnacentral:rRNA from 1 species
GCAUAUCAAUAAGCGGAGGAAAAGAAACUAACAAGGAUUCCCCUAGUAACGGCGAGUGAAGCGGGGAAGAGCUCAAGCUUGAAAUCGGCAGGUUGUAAAUGACUUGUCCGAGUUGUAGCUUUUAGAAGCAGUUUUAAUAGUCCACUGAGCAUGGUAAAAGUUCUUUUGAAUAAGACAUCAAGGAGGGUGAUAAUCCCGUAUUUGACCAUGUAAUUUUAGCAGUGGUGUUAUAAACUGUUUUCUGUGAGUCGGGUUGUUUGGGAAUGCAGCCCUAAUUGGGAGGUAAAUUUCUUCCAAAGCUAAAUAUUAGCAAGAGACCGAUAGCAAACAAGUACCGUGAGGAAAGAUGAAAAGCACUUUGAAAAGAGAGUGAAAAGUACGUGAAAUUGUUAAAAGGGAACCGGUUAGUAUGCCAAGUUUUUUGCUGCUAGGGCAUUUAUGUCAGAGUAGUGAAGGGUCAACAUCGGUUGCUAUUAACUGCCAGAAAGGAAAUUGGGCAGGCUAGCGGAGUAAGGUAGAAAAGUUAGUUGUUUUUUCGGAAACAAUUUAAGCUGACUUUUUGUUAUAGACUCCAUGGGCUUGUUUUUUACGCCUAGUGGUGGUGGCGACCGAGGAAUGCAGUGUGUUUUUAAAGUACUUGUACUUUGGAUGGACAGUUUUAUGGAAUGUGUUUGUAGGUUUUCCGGUAUUAGACAGCUUGCUGACUAGUCUGGGAAUAAUUUUCCUAUACACAGGCUGUAGAUUUGGACUAAGAAACACUUUGGAUGUUGGCGAAAAGGCACUAAUCGACCCGUCUUGAAACACGGACC